rnacentral:rRNA from 1 species
AUACGGAGGGUGCAAGCGUUAUUCGGAAUCACUGGGCGUAAAGGACGCGUAGGCGGGUUGGCAAGUCAGAUGUGAAAUCCUGCAGCUUAACUGUAGAACUGCAUUUGAAACUGCUAACCUAGAGUAUGGGAGGGGGAGAUGGAAUUAGUGGUGUAGGGGUAAAAUCCGUAGAUAUCACUAGGAAUACCGAAAGCGAAGGCGAUCUCCUGGAACAUAACUGACGCUAAGGCGUGAAAGCGUGGGGAGCAAACAGGAUUAGAAACCCUUGUAGUCC